rnacentral:rRNA from 1 species
UUCGUAGGGGGCAAGCGUUGUCCGGAUUUAUUGGGCGUAAAGAGCGUGUAGGCGGCUAGAUAGGUCCGUUGUGAAAACUCGAGGCUCAACCUCGAGACGUCGAUGGAAACCAUCUGGCUAGAGUCCGGAAGAGGAGAGUGGAAUUCCUGGUGUAGCGGUGAAAUGCGCAGAUAUCAGGAAGAACACCCGUGGCGAAGGCGGCUCUCUGGUACGUGACUGACGCUGAGACGCGAAAGCGUGGGGAGCGAACAGG